CACCGAAUUAAUACGGUAUCAUACCGUACCGUGCCAAUCUUGUAUGACACGGGUGUGGUAUCAUAUAUCAGCCACCGUAUGAAACCAUACCGUACCGAAUAGUAACCCUAAACAAAAUUAUACGCUAGUUUUUUUUUCACUCUCAAUCUCUCACGCCUCCUAGCAGACCCAGAUUCUCUCAAACUCUGCUUCCACUCCCAGCAAGCUCUCUCUUUCUCUCAAACUCUCGAUCUCUCACGCCUCCCAAACCCUUGGAUCUCUGUCUCUAUCUCUUUCUCACUCUCUCACUCUCACGAUCUGUCUAGUCUCCUCCCUCUCGUAGCUCCCACAAGAUAUAUGCGAAACUGAAAUCCAGGAGCUGUGGCCUACCGCAACCAGAGUGCAAAACUUGAUCACUCUCUCUGUCUGGAACUGGAAGCCCAAAAUCGAAGACUCAAACUCAAAUGGAUGUUGAAUUUGUUGAUGUUUAUUGAUUUGGUUGAUUAGGAUUUGGAUGUUGAUGAUAUUGAUUUGAAUCUUUGGUGAAUGAAUAGAUUGAAUAUUCAAUUGGUUUA